CCUACGGGUGGCUGCAGUGAGGAAUAUUGGUCAAUGGACGAGAGUCUGAACCAGCCAAGUAGCGUGAAGGAUGACUGCCCUAUGGGUUGUAAACUUCUUUUGUACGAGGGUAAACGCAGAUACGCGUAUCUGUCUGAAAGUAUCGUACGAAUAAGGAUCGGCUAACUCCGUGCCAGCAGCCGCGGUAAUACGGAGGAUUCAAGCGUUAUCCGGAUUUAUUGGGUUUAAAGGGUGCGUAGGCGGUCGGAUAAGUUAGAGGUGAAAUCCCGGGGCUCAACUUCGGAAUUGCCUCUGAUACUGUUCGGCUAGAGAGUAGUUGCGGUAGGCGGAAUGUAUGGUGUAGCGGUGAAAUGCUUAGAGAUCAUACAGAACACCGAUUGCGAAGGCAGCUUACCAAGCUACUUCUGACGUUGAGGCACGAAAGCGUGGGGAGCAAACAGGAUUAGAUACCCCAGUAGUC
rnacentral:rRNA from 1 species